rnacentral:rRNA from 1 species
AGCUCCAAUAGCGUAUAUUAAAGUUGUUGCAGUUAAAAAGCUCGUAGUUGGAUUUCUGGCAGGGUGGCCUUGCCCGCAGUAGCGUGUGCAGCGUGGCCCUUCCAUCCUUCUGUUAACUCUUAAGGGUUUAACGCUCUUUUGAGGGCUCAGAUAUUUUACCUUGAGAAAAUUAGAGUGUUUCAGGCAGGCUAGCGCCGGAAUACAUUAGCAUGGAAUAAUGGAAUAGGACUUUUGCCCUUUCUGUUGGUCUGAGGGGUUCGAGUAAUGAUUAAUAGGGAUAGUUGGGGGCAUUAGUACUUAACUGUCAGAGGUGAAAUUCUCGGAUUUGUUAAAGACUAACUUAUGCGAAAGCAUUUGCCAAGGAUGUUUUCA